UGCAAACUGUCUCUUCCAAAGGCAGCACUCCAAGUGAGAAGUUCGAGAAAGCUCCAGGAGGCUCAGGGUCCAGAUCUGUGGUCUUGUCCCAGAAGCUGGGAAAGCUUAAAGCUCAGACCAGGGCUGGCUCGCUCUCUGGAGGGAUGUUUCACCAUUCAGUGACUGCAGAGAUCACCAAGGGGCAUUUUUCAUGAAGAAAUCCAGUCUGAUAUUGGCUUUGAGAGCAGAGACGUGUAGCUUGGAUGCAGGUGAAUAAAGAGAAGGUAGAAGGACACAUUCUAAUUUUAGUUGGGAACUGUUCCUAUUGAUUCAUUUUCCUAAGAUUUUGCUUUGGAAAAAUUUUGUGGCCAAUUCAUGUUUGUUUCCGUGGUGAGCACUGAGCGUUAUAAUAAUACUGUUUUGCAUGAAUACUGGGUGUUAUAAACUGAAGUGUGCCCCACCCCCAAAUUCAUAUGUUGAGGCUUUAACACUCUAUGUGACUGAAUUUGGAGAUAGCAUUUUUAAUUACAGUUAAAUGAGGUACUUACGAGGUAAUUACAGGUAAUGAGAUCGGAAGGUGGGGCCCUAAUCCAGUUGAACUGGUGUCCUUACAGGAAGAGGAAGGGACACCAGGGACAUACACACACACGGAAAAAGCCGUGUGAGAACACAGCAAGAAGGUGGCUACCGGCAAGCCCAGGAAAGAGUUCUCACCGGAAACCAAUCUUACAGGCACCUGAUCUUGGACUUCCGACCUCCAGAACUAUGAUUUGAGAAGCACAGGUAUAGAGAACUUCCAAGGGCCGUCUCUCGGAAAUUGACCCCUGUGUGGAGGAAAUAUAAAGAGUAUUUGCCAGCUCUCUCAAGGUUCCCGGGGAUGAAGCACUGGCUUGAAAGCCCUCACUGGGGCUGCGGUGGGGGAAGAUGGAAGCCAGCUGCCACGUCCUGAGGAGACUCAAAAGUCUCGUGGAGAGAUUCAUGUGGGAGAAACUGAGGUCCCCUGUCAAUGGCUGGCAAAGAACUGAGGCCUCCUGCCGAGAGCCACGUGACUGAGCUUAGACACACAUCCUGCAGCCCCAGCCAAGCCUUGGGCUUCACUUGUCCGAUUCUACAGCUUGACUCAACCUCAGCUGAACCAGAACCACUCAGCUGAUCUGCUCCCAAAUUGCUGACCUACAGAAACUAUGAGAUAGCCCGAGAGGACCAAGACAGUGCCAUGUUCAUAGCAAAGAUUAGCUGGGAAGGGACAUUGGCCCCAAGUGAGAAGACUGCUGUAACCGGACUGUCAGAGAAGAUGACCACACAGUUCCCUUGAAGAGGCAGAAGAUGCAGAAUUGCCCAUCAGGUUCCACGCAGGUUUUUUGUCCUGCCUGGAUUUGGCUUCUGAAACUGCUCUGUCAUCGUGCUACAAUCCAAAGCUCAGAGGAGGACACGGCUGAGAGUUACUGCAGAGAAGUGAAGCUGCAGCCCUGGCACCAGGGAGCCAUGAGCCAGCUCUUCCGACACAUCCUCAGUAUAUAGGAUAAUUGCUUUGCUGUCAAAGCCAGUGUGAGUCAGGAUUUUCUGCUCCAGAUAACCCAGGCUUCAGGGCAAGGGCACAGCCCAGCUCCUCCAAGACGCCUUCGUUGAUGUGCCCACCCUUCAAGGCUCUUCUCACCUUAGACUUCUGGUACCACUGCCUGGGCUGGCAGCUCCACUGGUCGUCACUGAACUCGUACAGCUUUGUGCCAUCAUUCCACUUUUAGUGCGUUAGAUCUCCAUCCACCACCGCCAUCCACCACACUGAGAGCCUUCAGGAGAGUGUGCGGGUUAUUAAUGUCUGUAUUCCCCAUACCAGCACCCAUCCUGCAAGUGAAUAAGUCCGAUUAAGCCCAAAAGUUUUGGUUGCACCUUCUCCUCAGCCAGUGGGUACCUACUGGUGUUACAGUUCUGAGACUUAUAAGGGCACAUCAGUGAUUCCUCAUGUAAUAAAGAACAUUUGUUCUAAAAUAUUGCCCUCUCUUCCUUUUUAGAAAAGCAGCUAGCAUCUUUUAAACUUCUGCCACAUAUCAGUCACCUCAUUAUAAAUGGGUGAAUCUAGUAAUCAAAGCCACUAUUGCUUAUUUUUUCUUAAAUAUGUAAAUUGGAAAGAAUGAGACCUACCUCAAUGUGGUGAAAAGUGAGCGAGAUAAUGCAAGCAAAACCCUAUCAUAGCUCAUGGCAUAAGUCAGAGAUCAACUAAUAGCAGAGGUUCUAUGGAGCAGAUGAUGCCUGGAUAGUACAUGCUAGGCCAAAUCUAGUCAAAUCAGCUGGAAGGGAGAAUCCACUCAAAGGGAUUGCUGCAGGCAAUGAACUAUUCAGGUCUUUGCUAGGUAAGAAGAGAGAUUAAUUGUGGAUAGUGACUGAGGCUUUAAAAGAAGACAUGAAAGGCUGACAUGUAUCAUUGUCCUGAUUCUUUAUAGCUCCAAGUAGAGGUUUUAUCCUGUGAUGAUCAGGUAUAACAAUAAAACUCCUGUAACCUGGAAAUCUAAUUUUCUCUUCUAUUUGGGCCAGAAUGGAAAUAUGUCGCUGUUUUCCCAUGGUUGAGUGCUGCCUAUGCUCUUCAUUCUCCCAAAUAAAAAUUUCCCUGAGCAAGAGAAGUUGAGAGAAUGGCCUUAGACGGAUGAAACUCAUCACUAAUAACCAUAAGUGGUGCACUUUCCCAAUCUUUAAAAUUGCAAGAAAGAGUUCAAUGAGUUUGAGUCUCUAGUGCGAAAUUCAAAACUUAGACAAUUCGCAAAUUUUUUUUUUGUUACGUGAUAAUUCCGAUCAACCACCAUGGCUCAAAACAAGACUCUUAUGACAGUCUUUCGGAAAACCAUAGUGUGAAAUCCAGCCUCAUUUGUUCCAUACACCACUCCUGCUGCAUGAGGUUGUAACGAUGCUUUUAUUGUGUGCUGCCAUCUGCUUCAAGACUGUAUCUCCUUUCCAUUCAAAUGUUAGUUGAGUCUCACACCAGUAUCACACAUUUAAUUUUUUUAAUGAUUGUAGCUUUAGAAGGUUUAAUAUUUGGGAGAGAAAUUUCUCCACAUCUUUUUACUUAAAAACAACCAUUUAAAAUAAAUAAUAAACAUUCAAAUUAUACGUUUAUCUCCCAAAUGAAUUGUCAAAUUAUUGUAUCAAGA